CACAUACUCCCUCCGUUCCGAAUUACUUGUCUUGGAUUUGUCUACAUACAGAUGUAUCUAGACUCAUUUUAGUGCUAGAUACCUCCGUAUCUAGACAAAUCUAAGACAAGUAAUUCGGAACAGAGGGAGUAGUAC
rnacentral:pre_miRNA from 1 species